rnacentral:tRNA from 1 species
GCAUGCCGUGGCCCAUGGGGCCCACGGCGAGCGGUGUCCGCGCCGCCGCGAUGAUGGCCUGGAGUUCGGACUCCAGUGCGUGCACC